UUGCCAGACUCCUACGGGAGGCAGCAGUGGGGGAUAUUGCACAAUGGAGGGAACUCUGAUGCAGCGACGCCGCGUGAGGGAAGAAGGUUUUCGGAUUGUAAACCUCUGUCUUCGGUGACGAAACGAGACGGUAGCCGAGGAGGAAGCCACGGCUAACUACGUGCCAGCAGCCGCGGUAAUACGUAGGGAGCAAGCGUUAUCCGGAAUUAUUGGGUGUAAAGGGUGCGUAGACGGGACAGCAAGUUAGUUGUGAAAGCCCUCGGCUUAACUGAGGAACUGCAACUAAAACUAUUGUUCUUGAGUGCAGGAGAGGAAAGCGGAAUUCCUAGUGUAGCGGUGAAAUGCGUAGAUAUUAGGAGGAACACCAGUGGCGAAGGCGGCUUUCUGGACUGUAACUGACGUUGAGGCACGAAAGUGUGGGGAGCAAACAGGAUUAGAUACCCCAGUAG
rnacentral:rRNA from 1 species